UACGUAGGGCGCAAGCGUUGUCCGGAAUUAUUGGGCGUAAAGAGCUCGUAGGCGGCUUGUCACGUCGGGUGUGAAAGCCCGGGGCUUAACUCCGGGUCUGCAUUCGAUACGGGCAGGCUAGAGUUCGGUAGGGGAGAUCGGAAUUCCUGGUGUAGCGGUGAAAUGCGCAGAUAUCAGGAGGAACACCGGUGGCGAAGGCGGAUCUCUGGGCCGAUACUGACGCUGAGGAGCGAAAGCGUGGGGAGCGAACAGG
rnacentral:rRNA from 1 species